rnacentral:rRNA from 1 species
UACGUAGGGGGCAAGCGUUGUCCGGAAUCAUUGGGCGUAAAGCGCGUGUAGGUGGCUUUGUAAGUCUGGUGUGAAAUCUUGAGGCUCAACCUCAAGCUGUCACUGGAUACUGCAAGGAUUGAGUCCGGAAGAGGAGAGUGGAAUUCCUGGUGUAGCGGUGGAAUGCGCAGAUAUCAGGAGGAACACCAAUGGCGAAGGCAGCUCUCUGGUACGUGACUGACACUGAGACGCGAAAGCGUGGGGAGCGAACAGG